CCUACGGGAGGCUGCAGUAGGGAAUCUUCCACAAUGGACGAAAGUCUGAUGGAGCAACGCCGCGUGAGUGAAGAAGGGUUUCGGCUCGUAAAGCACUGUUGGUAGUGAAGAAAGGUAGAGGUAGUAACUGGCCUUUAUUUGACGGUAAUUACUUAGUAAGUCACGGCUAACUACGUGCCAGCAGCCGCGGUAAUACGUAGGUGGCAAGCGUUGUACGGAUUUAUUGGGCGUAAAGCGAGUGCAGGCGGUUUAAUAAGUCUGAUGUGAAAGCCUUCGGCUCAACCGGGGAAUGGCAUCAGAAACUGUUGAACGUGAGUGCAGAAGAGGAGAGUGGAACUCCAAGUGUAGCGGUGGAAUGCGUAGAUAUAUGGAAGAACACCAGUGGCGAAGGCGGCUCUCUGGUCUGCAACUGACGCUGAGGCUCGAAAGCAUGGGUAGCGAACAGGAUUAGAUACCCCAGUAGUC
rnacentral:rRNA from 1 species